rnacentral:rRNA from 2 species
CACGUAGGCCGCUUUGUAAGUCAGGGGUGAAAUCCCACGGCUCAACCGUGGAACUGCCUUUGAAACUGCAGAGCUUGAAUCCUGGAGAGGGUGGCGGAAUUCCUGGUGUAGGAGUGAAAUCCGUAGAUAUCAGGAGGAACACCGGUGGCGAAGGCGGCCACCUGGACAGGUAUUGACGCUGAGGUGCGAAAGUGUGGGGAGCAAACA